GACGAACGCUGGCGGCGUGCCUAAUACAUGCAAGUCGAGCGAAGUUUUUCUGGUGCUUGCACUAGAAAAACUUAGCGGCGAACGGGUGAGUAACACGUAAAGAACCUGCCUCAUAGACUGGGACAACUAUUGGAAACGAUAGCUAAUACCGGAUAACAGUAUUUCUCGCAUGAGAGAUAUUUAAAAGUUGGUUAUGCUAACACUAUGAGAUGGCUUUGCGGUGCAUUAGCUAGUUGGUGGGGUAAAGGCCCACCAAGGCGACGAUGCAUGGCCGACCUGAGAGGGGGGUCGGCCACACUUGGAACUGGACACCGCCCAGACUCCUAAGGGAAGCAGCAGUAGGGAAACUUCCGCAAAGGGGGGAAGCCUUGAGGAGCAACGGCGCGGGAGGGAAAAAGGAUUUCGGUUCGGAAAGCUCUGCUGUUAGGGAAGAAUGGAUAUGUAGUAACUAUACAUGUAAGAGACGGUACCUAACCAGAAAGCCACGGCUAACUACGUG
rnacentral:rRNA from 1 species